rnacentral:rRNA from 1 species
GAUGAACGCUGGCGGCGUGCCUAAUACAUGCAAGUCGAGCGAACAGACGAGGAGCUUGCUCCUCUGACGUUAGCGGCGGACGGGUGAGUAACACGUGGAUACCUACCUAUAAGACUGGGAUAACUUCGGGAAACCGGAGCUAAUACCGGAUAAUAUAUUGAACCGCAUGGUUCAAUAGUGAAAGACGGUUUUGCUGUCACUUAUAGAUGGAUCCGCGCCGCAUUAGCUAGUUGGUAAGGUAACGGCUUACCAAGGCAACGAUGCGUAGCCGACCUGAGAGGGUGAUCGGCCACACUGGAACUGAGACACGGUCCAGACUCCUACGGGAGGCAGCAGUAGGGAAUCUUCCGCAAUGGGCGAAAGCCUGACGGAGCAACGCCGCGUGAGUGAUGAAGGUCUUCGGAUCGUAAAACUCUGUUAUUAGGGAAGAACAAAUGUGUAAGUAACUAUGCACGUCUCGACGGUACCUAAUCAGAAAGCCACGGCUAACUACGUG